UCUGAAGUAUCUAUUUCUGUGCUCUCAGAAACAGAUCUGUCGGAUACUUUGUGAAUAAAACACCAAACUGUUGAGUGUGUGAGAGGAAGAGAGAGGAAGAGAGUUGAUGAGAGGCGGGAAGUGAAAGGUCUCGGAGAGAAGAUGCAGACCUCCAAGAGCUUUCGGAUGGAUGACUUUAUCGCAGGAUUGAUAGGCGGAGCUUCCAGUGUGGUUGUGGGUCAUCCUCUGGACACGGUGAAGACGAGGCUCCAGGCGGGGAAAGGAUACAAGAACAUGAUGCACUGCAUCCUCACCAUCUACAGGAAGGAGACGGUAAG